rnacentral:tRNA from 1 species
AUCCUGGGUAGCUCAGUUAGAGCGUGGUGCUGAUAAUGCCAAGGUCACAGGUUCGAUCCUUGUAUGGGACA